GGACGAACGCUGGCGGCGUGCCUAAUACAUGCAAGUCGAGCGGACAGAAGGGAGCUUGCUCCCGGAUGUUAGCGGCGGACGGGUGAGUAACACGUGGGUAACCUGCCUGUAAGACUGGGAUAACUCCGGGAAACCGGAGCUAAUACCGGAUAGUUCCUUGAACCGCAUGGUUCAAGGAUGAAAGACGGUUUCGGCUGUCACUUACAGAUGGACCCGCGGCGCAUUAGCUAGUUGGUGAGGUAACGGCUCACCAAGGCGACGAUGCGUAGCCGACCUGAGAGGGUGAUCGGCCACACUGGGACUGAGACACGGCCCAGACUCCUACGGGAGGCAGCAGUAGGGAAUCUUCCGCAAUGGACGAAAGUCUGACGGAGCAACGCCGCGUGAGUGAUGAAGGUUUUCGGAUCGUAAAGCUCUGUUGUUAGGGAAGAACAAGUGCAAGAGUAACUGCUUGCACCUUGACGGUACCUAACCAGAAAGCCACGGCUAACUACGU
rnacentral:rRNA from 2 species